CCAGGUUUGGUUUAUUAGUUCUUCAUCUUCGGGGUCAAAUAUUUUUUCCCAUAUUAUUCUCCUUAAUUCUAUAAUUUCUAUAUCUUUAAGAAUAUAUAAAAUCAGUGUUUCAUAAGCUAAUAUCAUUUCAUCAUGUAAAGAGGUAGUCAUAUUGAUAUUUUGCUGUUUAAUCAAUAAUUCCCUUAUACCAUAUGCAUAAUAAAUAUUAUUCAUAUUAGAUUACUAUAAACUAGAUUAUUUUCAACCAUGUUUCCUUG
rnacentral:lncRNA from 1 species